UACGUAGGGGGCAAGCGUUGUCCGGAAUUAUUGGGCGUAAAGGGCGCGUAGGCGGUUGGAUAAGUCUUGUGUGAAAUCUUCGGGCUCAACUCGAAGUCUGCACGAGAAACUAUCUGGCUUGAGUGUGGGAGAGGUGAGUGGAAUUCCUGGUGUAGCGGUGAAAUGCGUAGAUAUCAGGAGGAACACCUGUGGCGAAAGCGGCUCACUGGACCACAACUGACGCUGAGGCGCGAAAGCUAGGGGAGCAAACAGG
rnacentral:rRNA from 1 species